UGUGUAUCAGUACAUGGCAUAUCAAUAAGCGGAGGAAAAGAAACUAACUAGGAUUCCCUCAGUAACGGCGAGUGAAGCGGGAAGAGCUCAAAUUUGAAGUCUUCAAGGUUUUCCCUUGACGAAUUGUAGUUUAAAGAAGUGUUUUCUGUUGAAGUUUUGGUAAAAGUUCUUUGGAAUAGGACAUCAUAGAGGGUGAGAAUCCCGUAUUUGACCAUUAUUCUUCCAGCUGUGUGAUACACUUUCAAAGAGUCGGAUUGUUUGGGAAUGCAGUCCAAAAUGGGUGGUAAAUUUCAUCUAAAGCUAAAUAUUGGCGAGAGACCGAUAGCGAACAAGUACCGUGAGGGAAAGAUGAAAAGAACUUUGAAAAGAGAGUUAAACAGUACGUGAAAUUGUCAAAAGGGAAGCGUUUGACACCAGUGUUGUUUUCUCGAAAAUCAAUUAAAAAUGAUGGGAUUUUGUGUUGUAUUGACUUUAUCAGCUUUCUGCACUUUUUUCUUAUCUUUUUUAAUACACUUUUCGUUUAACAAGUCAACAUCAAUUUCUUUUGUUGUAAAAGAGUCAUUGGAGGGUGGCUUUUUCUUCGGAAAAAGUGUUUAUAGCCUUUGGCUUCUGCAAUCGGAGAGAUUGAGGUCUGCAGCGUAGAUCCUUCGGGGUUAGAUACAUUUGUGCUAAGCUAUAGUUCUUUAUAGACAACUUGUUGACUAUAAUCAAUCCUGUAACUUACUCGCUUAUGCUAUUUUACCUACGCUUAGGAUGUUGACAGCAGUAUAGACUGU
rnacentral:rRNA from 1 species